rnacentral:rRNA from 1 species
GAUGAACGCUGGCGGCGUGCCUAAUACAUGCAAGUCGAGCGAACAGAUGAGGAGCUUGCUCCUCUGACGUUAGCGGCGGACGGGUGAGUAACACGUGGAUAACCUACCUAUAAGACUGGGAUAACUUCGGGAAACCGGAGCUAAUACCGGAUAAUAUAUUGAACCGCAUGGUUCAAUAGUGAAUGACGGUUUUGCUGUCUCUUAUAGAUGGAUCCGCGCCGCAUUAGCUAGUUGGUAAGGUAACGGCUUACCAAGGCAACGAUGCGUAGCCGACCUGAGAGGGUGAUCGGCCACACUGGAACUGAGACACGGUCCAGACUCCUACGGGAGGCAGCAGUAGGGAAUCUUCCGCAAUGGGCGAAAGCCUGACGGAGCAACGCCGCGUGAGUGAUGAAGGUCUUCGGAUCGUAAAACUCUGUUAUUAGGGAAGAACAAAUGUGUAAGUAACUAUGCACGUCUUGACGGUACCUAAUCAGAAAGCCACGGCUAACUACGUG